rnacentral:rRNA from 1 species
CCUACGGGCGGCAGCAGUGGGGAAUAUUGGGCAAUGGAGGAAACUCUGACCCAGCAAUGCCGCGUGAAUGAUGACUGUCUUCGGAUUGUCAAGUUCUUUUCUAAGGGAAGAAGAAAGUGACGCUACCUUCUGAAUAAGCCUCGGCUAACUACGUGACAUCAGCCGCGGUAAUACGUAGGAGGCGAGCGUUAUCCGGAAUGACUGGGCGUAAAGGGUGCGUAGGUGGUUUGGCAAGUUAGUAGCGUAACUCCAAGGGUCAAACUGGGAACUACUACUAAAACUGUUGGACUUGAGUGCAGGAGGGGCAACCGGAAUGCCUAGUGUAGCGGUGGAAUGCGUAGAUAUUAGGAGGAACACCAGUGGCGAAGGCGGGUUGCUAGACUGUAACUGACACUGAGGCACGAAAGCGUGGGGAGCAAACAGGAGUAGAUACCCCAGUAGUC